GAAAUGCGAUAAGUAAUGUGAAUUGCAGAAUUCCGUGAAUCAUCGAAUCUUUGAACGCACAUUUCGCCCUCUGGCAUUCCGGGGGGCAUGCCUGUCCGAGCGUCAUUACGCACCCUCAAGCCCGGCUUGUGUGAUGGGCUCCGGCGUCUCGUUCGCGAGACGGGCCCGAAAGGCAGCGGCGGCGUCGACCCGAUGAGCCCGAGCGUAUGGGGACUUCUGUCACACGUUCGCGGUGCGGACCGGCGCCUGCUUGACUUUUCUGAUUAUCCAGGUUGACCUCGGAUCAGGUAGGGAUACCCGCUGAACUUAAGC
rnacentral:misc_RNA from 1 species